rnacentral:misc_RNA from 1 species
CAGUAAUACUUUCAAACUUGACACAUAUGUGUAAAGUCGAUGGAAUGCAGCUUCGCUCAAAGCAUAUGUUCAUUCAACGAGUGCUCACUGCAGAAUGAAAAGAGGAAAACUAAAGGGCACGAAAAACGACCAACUGCGCUUGCGCGUAUUUCGAUCUCUGGCAUCAUUUUACGAUUAUUGUACAGCGGGGAAAUAAAUAUACGUUGAAUAUUUUUCUUUUCUCCGUGUAACAAUUACUUAAUCGAUGAGUACUUUUCUCGAGCCAAGGCGUUAAAUUGUCAUCAAACAGGUGUUACAAUCGCACGGUAGUAUCGUGCACCACCUCGCGCUACAUUUAUGCUAAUUUAAAUAAUUUAUCUGGAAAUUUAUGCGGCGAGGGGAAAAUUUUAAAACACUAGUGAUGGGAAAAGGGGAUAGACGAACAGGUAUAGAUUAUUUUGCAGGCAGGUGCGAAGUUUUGACGAUCACAAAACAUGAUCUGUAUUAAAAAACAGUACUUCAACUGGAAUCGAGUACUACUCCUUCCUUUGGGCUUGUGGCCUGACAACGAAACAAAAUUCACUCGUUUUCAGGCAAGAUUGCUUUUUAGUCUCCUGAUGAGCAGCGUUGUAUUUCACUUCUCAAGACUGUUUAUUGGAAAAUGUAGCAUUGAUUACGUUAUCACACUAAUCUCUUCUGCUACAUUUUUCGUUACACUUCUGAUUGUCUUCAUCAGCUUUUGGAUUAACAUGAAAACUAUGAAAAAUUUAUUGAAUUACUUGCAACACAUCUAUGACGGGUUAAAGGACAGAAACGAAAUUGCUAUUUAUGACAAAUACGGAUAUAUUGGAAAACGAGUUACGAUCAUACUGACGAUACCUACUGUGUGCGGCUUAUGUUUUAAUAGUAUCAUGCUAUAUUCACCGUACAUUCUUGACAUUGUUAUGCCGAAAAAUGAAUCUUACGCAAUUCAUAUCAUGGAAAUGAUAACUAAAUACUUCAGAGUAUCAGAAAAGUAUUACUUUUUAGUUCUUGUGCACCUGAACGCAACCUGUACUGCAGGAUUGAUCAUACUGAUAGGGACGGGAACAAUGAUGAUAUCGUAUUUCAAGCAUGCUUGUGGAAUGUUUGAGAUUGCCAGCUACCGUAUUGAGCAAGCAAUGGCGAUCGAAUUGUUACAUCACAUUAAUACGAAAACUGAGAUUGUAAUUUACAAGAAGAUAAUCUGUGCCGUAGAUAUACAUCGCAAAGCUAUGCAAUUCGCACAGUGUUUCAUGAAUAAACUGGAAAGACCAUUAUCCUUUUUGAUAAUAGCUACUGUGCUUUGCUUGAGUUUCAAUCUUUUUCGAAUAUUUCAAAUUGAGUCACCUACGGAGAAAGUGGAAGAAUUUUUAUUACACUUUCUUGCUAUGAUAGCUAUAUUCGUGCUGAUGUUCAUUGCUAAUUAUACUGGACAAGAAAUAACAGAUCAUAGCAAUUCUGUAUAUGUAACCACUUAUUUCUUUCUAGAUACAACGUUUCAUGAUAUUUAGCACCAAUACGUAUACAGAAACUGGUACUGUUUCUAUUACAAAGGGGCAAUAAAAUUUUCACCCUGAAUGUUGGUGGAUUAUUUUCAGCAUCUUUAGAAUGUUUCUCUACAUUGGUGAGUGCAUCAGUAUCUUACUUCACCUUUAUGUACUCCAUGCAGCGAUAAUAAGUAAAAAUCUUGUGUGAUAGAAUAGAAUAGUAUUUAGCCUUACUAACUAAGUAGGAUAGUGUAGAUAGAUAUAAAGUACACAUUUAACCUUCUUUUUUCAUGUUUAAUGUAGAAUGUUGAUUAUAGCAUUAUUACAAAUCACACCUUGCAUAUUGGGGUGGAGCUUAACUAUCCUUGCUAACAAAACUUUUCGUGCUUUUUGAGCUAUGUAGUGUAUUUUAAUUCUUAAGGUUGGCACUUUAAAACCCACUAAAUGACGGAAACAUAUUUGAAUUUAAUUUUGAAUCUAUAACGGUGCUAUGAUUGAUUAAAGAUAAAAGCACGGAAUUAAUUGCCGUUCCUAGAAUAAAAAAUAAUAAACAGACUUAGGAAUUAGUAUUUUAUUAGGAAUUAGUAUUUAAAAAUAAGUACGUAGUACGUAUUAAGUAAGUAGUAAAAAUAAGUACGUAGAAAGAGUGAGAAUUGUUUAUAACAGACUUUUUCGCCUUUUGUGCAUAUAAGGAGCGUAUAAGGAGAAAUAAAAAGUCGAUAUAAAUAAAAUGAUGAUUCAAACAUUAAAUACAUUUGAGCAUAGUGCUUGUAACAAAAAA